GCCUGGAUGGCUCAGUCAGUUAAGCGUCUGACUUUGGCUCAGGUUAUGAUCUUCAGGUUCAUGGGUUCAAGCCCCAUGUUGGGCU
rnacentral:tRNA from 1 species